rnacentral:tRNA from 2 species
GCGGGAGUGGCGAAAUUGGCAGACGCACUAGAUUUAGGUUCUAGCGCCCUUGGCGUGUGGGUUCAAGUCCCACCUUCCGCACCA